GGGGCUGACUUGGAUUUCGACAGAUUUCUUGUCGCACAGACAGCAUGCCAAGCGCUACUUGUAAAACAGCAACGAAAAUAACUGUAAACAACACAGAUUACGCUCCAGCUUACGCUAAAGCUGCGUGAGUUAAUCUCCUUUGGAGCUGGACUGAUUAGAAUUUCUAGCGUUUUAAUCACUCCAUAACCUUAAGCUAGAUGCUUUUAAAAGGUGGUUCGCCUUUUAAACUAAGAAACAAGAACUCUUGAAACUACCUCAAGGUUUUAGAAAGUUGGACCAGAGCUAGUUUUAAGGCUAAAAAACCAACCAAUUUUCUAAGCAUUGUAGAAGUUUGUGUUUAGGGCAAGAUUUUUGGACUGGGGUUCGAUUCCCCACAGCUCCACCA
rnacentral:tmRNA from 1 species